GUCUAUGGCCAUGCCAUCCUGAACAAGCCCGAGCCUGUCUAAUCUCGGAAGCUAAGCAGGGUCGGGCCUGGCUAGUACUUGGAUGGGAGACCACCUAGGAAGACCAGGUGCCACAGGCG
rnacentral:rRNA from 1 species